GCAAUAAAAAAGCAUAAUACCUUAGAAGCAUCUUGAUUAUUGAAGGCAAAGGAAAGAAGUUAGAGAUUUACAUGGAAAAAUACAUCAGGCAAUUAAGAUUAUGUAAGGAUUUUAUAGGAGUGUUUUAUUUUCUUCAUUUACAAGAACACUUGUUCUUUUCCACUUUUUUACCAUGUUGUGGAUCUUUAACACAGCCCAUUGAUGUUAUUGCAGUUU
rnacentral:misc_RNA from 1 species